UGUGUUUUUGUUUUUCCUGGGUAAAUACCUGUGCAAAGACUGGUGUGUCUGGGUGAUAGAGUAGGUACAUACUUCAUUUUUUAAAGAAACUGCCAGGUUGUUUUUCUUAGUGGUGAGAGUUCCAUUUGCCCAACAUUCUUGACAAGACUUGCAAUGAUCAGUCUUUAAUUUUAGCGAUCCCACUGCAUUUGAAGAAAUGAAAUACACAUUUCUCACAUGAAAUUUACAUGUGCUCAUGAAGAGCAUUUUUUGUGUUUUAUGGGCCAUUUUGUAUCUUUUGUGAAGUGCCUGUUAGAAUCUUUUGGCAAUGUUUAAUUGGGUUGUUUAUUGUAUUAUUUAUGAGUUUUAAAAGUUUACACAAAUGUAUUCUGCAAUACGACGUUGUUGGUAUGUGUUUUGCAAAUAUAUUCUUCCAGUCCGUGGCUGUGUCUUUUUGUUCUCCUAAUAAGGUGUCAGUAUCGUCUAGUUAAAUCCGAGCAUCUGGGACUUCAGGCCAAGA